UACAGAGGGUGCAAGCGUUGUUCGGAAUUACUGGGCGUAAAGCGUGCGUAGGCGGUUUGCUAAGUCAGACGUGAAAGCCCCGGGCUCAACCUGGGAACUGCGUUUGAUACUGGCAGGCUAGAGGACUUGAGAGGAUAGUGGAAUUCCUAGUGUAGAGGUGAAAUUCGUAGAUAUUAGGAAGAACACCAGUGGCGAAGGCGGCUAUCUGGCAAGUAACUGACGCUGAGGUACGAAAGCGUGGGGAGCAAACAGG
rnacentral:rRNA from 1 species